rnacentral:lncRNA from 1 species
UCAUUCACGACAGAAAUAAAAAAUAAAAAAAAAAAGAAUUGAUUAUGGUAAAAUAGAAAAAAUAUUAAGUAGAACGCUGUUAAGUGUAGUAGAGCUACUAUACUAUAGAAAGUAUAGAAAAUUUGGUGUUUUUGAUUUUUUGACACUUUGAUUAAAAUUGUACGAUUAUGAUGAUUGCAGUUCCUCUAGGGUUAAGUAGUACUCCUAGAGUUGAGUGGUCUCCACAGAAUAAUAGUAUUAAUCUAAAGAUUAAAAAUGAUUAAAGAUACAGAUUUAAUGACCAAAAAUUCAAAAGUACCAGAUUCUCUAUGCUUCUGAUAGUAUAGUAACUCAACUCAACUUUUAAACUAUU